GACGAACGCUGGCGGCGUGCCUAAUACAUGCAAGUCGAGCGGACAGAAGGGAGCUUGCUCCCGGAAGUUAGCGGCGGACGGGUGAGUAACACGUGGGCAACCUACCCUGUAGAUCGGGAUAACAUCGAGAAAUCGGUGCUAAUACCGGAUAAUCAUUUGAAGUGCAUGCUUCGAAUGUAACAGAUGGCUACGGCUAUCACUACGGGAUGGGCCCGCGGCGCAUUAGCUAGUUGGUAAGGUAAUGGCUUACCAAGGCAACGAUGCGUAGCCGACCUGAGAGGGGGAUCGGCCACACUGGGACUGAGACACGGCCCAGACUCCUACGGGAGGCAGCAGUAGGGAAUCUUCCGCAAUGGACGAAAGUCUGACGGAGCAACGCCGCGUGAGUGAUGAAGGUUUUCGGAUCGUAAAGCUCUGUUGUUAGGGAAGAACAAGUGCCGUUUGAAUAAGGCGGCACCUUGACGGUACCUAACCAGAAAGCCACGGCUAACUACGUGCCAGCCGCCGCCGUAACAC
rnacentral:rRNA from 1 species